UACGAAGGGUGCAAGCGUUGUUCGGAUUUACUGGGCGUAAGGCGCGCGCAGACGGAUUAUAAGUCAGAUGUGAAAUCUCGGGGCUCAACCCCGAAACUGCGUCUGAAACUGUUGAUCUAGAGUUAUGUAGGGGAGAAGGGAAUUUCGCAUGUAGGGGUAAAAUCCGUAGAGAUGCGAAGGAACACCAGAGCCGAAGGGGCUUCUCUGGGCAUACACUGACGCUGAGGCGCGAAAGCGUGGGUAGCAAACAGGAUUAGAUACCCUGGUAGUCCACGCCGUAAACGAUGAGUACUAGAUUUUGGGGCCUUUGACCGCUUCAGAGUCGCAGCUAACGCAUUAAGUACUCCGCCUGGGAAGUACGGUCGCAAGACUAAAACUCAAAGGAGUUGGCGGGGGCCCGCACAAGCGGUGGAUUAUGUGGUUUAAUUCGAAGCAACGCGCAGAACCUUACCUGGGCUUGAAAUCCCGAGAAGAUCGGCAACACUGAUUGUGCUCUUCGGAGAACUCGGUGACAGGCGCUGCAUGGCUGUCGUCAGCUCGUGUCGUGAGAUGUUGGGUUAAGUCUCGCAACGAGCGCAACCCCUAUCCUUAGUUGCCAGCAUUAAGUUGGGCACUCUAGGGAGACUGCCUGGGUUAACCAGGAGGAAGGUGGGGAUGACGUCAAGUCCUCAUGGCCCUUAUGUCCAGGGCUACACACGUAAUACAAUGGUGCAUACAAAGGGACGCGACCCCGCGAGGGUGAGCAAAUCUCAAAAAGUGCAUCUCAGUCCGGAUUGGAGUCUGCAACUCGACUCCAUGAAGUUGGAAUCACUAGUAAUCGCGGAUCAGCACGCCGCGGUGAAUACGUUCCCGGGCC
rnacentral:rRNA from 1 species